rnacentral:rRNA from 1 species
UACGGAGGGUGCAAGCGUUAUCCGGAUUUAUUGGGUUUAAAGGGUUCGUAGGCGGCUCUGUAAGUCAGUGGUGAAAUCUCACAGCUUAACUGUGAAACUGCCAUUGAUACUGCAGGUCUUGAGUGUUAUUGAAGUAGCUGGAAUAAGUAGUGUAGCGGUGAAAUGCAUAGAUAUUACUUAGAACACCAAUUGCGAAGGCAGGUUACUAAGCAACAACUGACGCUGAUGGACGAAAGCGUGGGGAGCGAACAGG